GUUUAGGUCUAUCCUGAUGGGGCUUUCCUGCCUGCACAUCACUGGAAACGCCUCAUAGGGUAACUCUGUGGGUUUGUUUUACUCACAGGACUAUUUAUUAGACCUGUGAGAAGGAACUAUAAGACAGAG
rnacentral:snoRNA from 1 species